UACGUAGGUGACCAGCGUUGUCCGGAUUUACUGGGCGUAAAGAGCGCGCAGGCGGUCGUUCAAGUCGAGUGUGAAAGCCCCCGGCUCAACUGGGGAGGGUCAUUCGAUACUGAUCGACUCGAAGGCAGGAGAGGGAAGUGGAAUUCCCGGUGUAGUGGUGAAAUGCGUAGAUAUCGGGAGGAACACCAGUGGCGAAGGCGGCUCACUGGAUCGGAACUGACGCUGAGGCGCGAAAGCGUGGGGAGCAAACAGG
rnacentral:rRNA from 1 species